UACGUAGGUGGCAAGCGUUGUCCGGAUUUAUUGGGUUUAAAGGGUGCGUAGGCGGCCUUAUAAGUCAGUGCUGAAAUAUCCCGGCUUAACCGGGAGGGUGGCAUUGAUACUGUAGGGCUUGAGUGUAGUCGAGGUAGGCGGAAUUGACGGUGCAGCGGUGAAAUGCUUAGAUAUCGUCAAGAACACCGAUAGUGUAGACAGCUUACUAGGCUACAACUGACGCUGAGGCACGAAAGUGUGGGGAUCAAACAGG
rnacentral:rRNA from 1 species